UUCUUGAUUACAUUUUCAGUAUGAAGGGAGACUGGGAGCUGAGAUCAAAAGUUCCAAAAGUAUCCAAAUCUCAUGAUUAGAGAUCUAAAGGAUUCCUAAAGUCACUUAAGCCCUCCUCCCAGAUGCCAUCCGCUGGGCCCAGGCCAUGAAUCUUCUCAGAAUGUUAUCCUAAAGGCCUCCUGUGAGAAUGGGGAAAAAAAAGAGCAUGAGUUGUUCCUCAUCCUCAAGAAGAGCUCCCACUAUCACACAGCCUGCUGGCCGCGUGCUGUUCUGCAUGGGGCACUCUGCCAGGUAAUUCUCAAAAACAAUGAAAAUUGGCAAACCACUUGCCUAACUUAUAAGGACACUGCCACUUGUAACAUCUAAACGAUCUCAAAGUAUCAUUUCAACUGAGACGUUGGAGGAAGUGCCAUGUUGCCAAUUUUUCUAAAAGUCCUUCUUCCCAGGUAAGCUUUGUUAGAACAACCUUGAAAUAACAACAUGAAAACCAAAUGUGUCAUUAGGCCCCAUUUAUUAUCUGCAGUUACUGGUUAGUUUUAUGUUUUUGUUUUUUUUUUUUUUGAAGCCAUUGCGUACAAAUUAUAUUUUCUAAUGUGUCAGCAUUUUUCUAAUUCAAAUUUCCACUAGUAAUCUGUUUUGCUGUGAAUACUGGGUAAACUUCAUGCCCAGCAGCUAAAAUUUCUGGAUGCAACAACUCAUUUACAAAAUUCUCAUAUAUUCAUCAAGGAAUGAAAGCAUGAUUUUGCAGAAUUGAAUUUUAAGAGCUCUGAUGCAACUGAAA
rnacentral:lncRNA from 1 species